rnacentral:rRNA from 1 species
UCGGGAAUUUUGGGCAAUGGGCGAAAGCCUGACCCAGCAACGCCGCGUGAAGGAUGAAGUAUUUCGGUAUGUAAACUUCGAAAGAAUAGGAAGAAUAAAUGACGGUACUAUUUAUAAGGUCCGGCUAACUACGUGCCAGCAGCCGCGGUAAUACGUAGGGACCAAGCGUUGUUCGGAUUUACUGGGCGUAAAGGGCGCGUAGGCGGCAAUUCAAGUCAUCUGUGAAAUCUCCGGGCUUAACUCGGAACGGUCAGAUGAUACUGCUUUGCUAGAGUGCGGAAGGGGCAAUCGGAAUUCUUGGUGUAGCGGUGAAAUGCGUAGAUAUCAAGAGGAACACCUGAGGUGAAGACGGGUUGCUGGGCCGACACUGACGCUGAGUGCGCGAAAGCCAGGGGAGCAAACGG